ACGAACGCUGGCGGCGUGCCUAACACAUGCAAGUCGAACGGAACUUUGUUGGAUGAGACUUCGGUUGAUGAAGAUAAAGUUUAGUGGCGGACGGGUGAGUAACGCGUGAGGAACCUGCCUCUCAGUGGGGGACAACAGUUGGAAACGACUGCUAAUACCGCAUAAUGUAUUUUAGGGGCAUCCCUUUAAUACCAAAGAUUUAUUGCUGAAAGAUGAGCUCGCGUCUGAUUAGAUAGUUGGUGAGGUAACGGCUCACCAAGUCGACGAUCAGUAGCCGGACUGAGAGGUUGGACGGCCACAUUGGGACUGAGACACGGCCCAGACUCCUACGGGAGGCAGCAGUGGGGAAUAUUGCACAAUGGGCGCAAGCCUGAUGCAGCGAUGCCGCGUGAGGGAAGAAGGUUUUAGGAUUGUAAACCUCUGUCUUCAGGGACGAUAAUGACGGUACCUGAGGAGGAAGCUCCGGCUAACUACGUG
rnacentral:rRNA from 1 species